AGCGAACGCUGGCGGCAGGCUUAACACAUGCAAGUCGAGCGCCCCGCAAGGGGAGCGGCAGACGGGUGAGUAACACGUGGGAACGUACCUUUUGGUUCGGAACAACCCAGGGAAACUUGGGCUAAUACCGGAUAAGCCCUUACGGGGGAAGAUUUAUCGCCAAAAGAUCGGACCGCGUCUGAUUAGCUAGUUGGUGGGGUAAUGGCCCACCAAGGCUACGAUCAGUAGCUGGUCUGAGAGGAUGAUCAGCCACAUUGGGACUGAGACACGGCCCAAACUCCUACGGGAGGCAGCAGUGGGGAAUAUUGGACAAUGGGGGAAACCCUGAUCCAGCCAUGCCGCGUGAGUGAUGAAGGCCUUAGGGUUGUAAAGCUCUUUUAGCAGGGAAGAUAAUGACGGUACCUGCAGAAAAAGCCCCGGCUAACUUCGUGCCAGCCGCCGCAGUAA
rnacentral:rRNA from 1 species